UUCACAGUACACAAGCGUUCAUUGCAUUUGGAGCCUUGAACCAGAAUGACUGGAACCAGCCUACAAUAUUUGGUGAAUUAGGUGAUCUCAGCAACAAUGUGUCUUGGCAAAGUGAACUACCCAAAAUACAGAGAUUCUCUCCUGAAAAUGGCGCUUCACCAUUCCUCAGUAGCAGUCCACAGGUCUACUCUGGGUCCUUGGGCUUCCGACUAGUGAGCAGAUCAGUCUGUACACAGACCUACUACCUCAGACCUACAUGUUUCUGCCAUGCUGGGGAUGUACCUUCUGCCUUUCUUAUUCUAGCCCUGAGAACAGUAAUAAAAUCACCAGGACCAAAACAGUCCUCUCUGACCACCACUGCCCUCUAUGUGUCGUCUUCCCCAU